UCACAAAAACGCCCCCGAGAUUACCCGACACACGAUUCGACGCUUCGACACACAGGACACAUCACUACAUAUACCACUACCAACGCCUGGAUCGAUAUCUGCAUCGAUCUGCCCACCCUUGUCUCCUGGAUCGUAGCUGAGAUCAGCGUGAACCACGUGGGUCUCUGCUCCCUGAUCUGUUUCCUGUGUUUGGAAAGAGUUCCAGCUUCAUCACGGAGUUUCUCUCGGUUAGUGGGCUCAUCUAAAGGGUCUGCAGCCUUAAGGGCAAGGGCGUAGAUUUGGCGUGGACGGAAGGGACAUGUCCCCACCAAUAUCCAGCGAUUAUUGAAUUGUCCCCACCAAUAAUUUGAUCUCUUCGAGUAAAGAAGAAAAAAACGAUCUGUCAACGUCUCAUUCACCUAGAGGCGCAGAAAGAGUUAAAUUGUUCUCUACUGGAGUCCUACCGCAUGUGACAAAUAUGGCCAAUGUGAUUGGCUGUGCCUUUCAGGGAGCUCUGUUUAGUUUUAGCAGCGGCAAGCCUGCGCUGGACCUGCAAGGAGGAGAGGAGGACGGCAGCAAAAAGGAAGAACCUCGAUAUACGAAAGUAUUUUUCAAAGAAACCUCUGAGUAACAGGAGGAGAAGAGUCUGGUGGAGCAGCAGAGGAACAAUUUCAGCCAUUUGGACUCAGCUCAGCCACUACAGAGGAAACAAUGACUUCAACACAGGAGGACCAACAUGGAGCGAGAAGUCAGCGCUCUCAGGAGGCCGACAAACCUCACAGAAGAAAGGGACACAAAAAAUACAGCUGUGAUGAGUGUGGGAAGGAUUUUGCUCACAGUAGCAACUUACGACAUCAUCAAGUUACCCACUCUGGAGUUAAAGCGUACAGCUGUGACUUGUGUGGAAAGUCUUUUACCAUGGCUGGAAGCUUAAAAACACACAGACUCCUGCACACUGGAGUUAAACCAUACAGCUGUGAUCAGUGUGGUAAAGCUUUUGCUCGUUUUAGCACCUUACGACAUCAUCAAGUUACUCACUCUGGAAUUAAAGCGUAUAGCUGUGAUGAGUGUGGAAAGUCUUUUACCCAGGCUGGAAGCUUAAAAAUACACAAACUCGACCACAGUGGAGUUAAACCUUACAGCUGUGACCAGUGUGGUAAAGCUUUUGCCGUCAGUAGAAGCUUACAGAAUCAUAAAGUUAUCCACUCUGGAAUUAAGGCAUACAGCUGUGAUCAGUGUGGUAAAGCUUUUGCUCGAAUUAGUGGCUUAAAGAGUCAUCAAGUUACGCACUCUGGAAUUAAGGCAUACAGCUGUGAUCAGUGUGGUAAAGCUUUUGCUCGAAGUAGCGAAUUACAAAGUCAUCUAGUUACGCACUCUGGAAUUAAGGCAUACAGCUGCGACAUUUGUGGAAAAACUUUCUGCCGGCUACUUAGCCGAAAUUUUCACCAACGCAUUCACACCAAAAAUGAUUUUUGCUUCUGUGAUCAGUGUGGCAAACGGUUUGUGGCAUACAAAUACUUACGUGAACACAUGUUUACCCACACUGAGGAGAGACCUUAUAAAUGUGACCAGUGUGAGAAGACUUUUAAAUCUCAACGUUACCUGAGAGUCCACCAACAGAUUCACACCAGAAAGAAACUCUACAAGUGUAGUUACUGUGAGAAGCAGAGCGACACAGAUGGAUGCAGUUCUCAACCCUGUCAUCACUGUGGUGGUGGGAAAGAGUUUCGCUGUGACCUUUGUGGAAAAACUUUCAAUCGUCCAGAGAGCCUAAAAGUACAUCAGCGCAGACACACUGGAGACAAAAUGAACUACUGCAAAGAAUGUGGGAAAGGCUUCCCCACACAAAGUGAAUUAAAAAAACACGAACUCUGCCACAGUGGGGUUAAACAGUAUGUCUGUGAACAGUGUGGGUCAUCUUUCUUCACUGCAGAUAAUCUUAAAGUGCAUAAAAGAGUCCACACAGGAGAGAAACCAUACAAGUGCAGACACUGUGACAGAAGCUUCUCAUUUUCAUCUGGUUGUAACCAUCAUGAACUUACACACAUUGAAGGGAACUUCAGCUGUGACCAGUGUGACAAGAGCUUCAAGAAUCUCAGUUCAUACUCCAAACACAAACGAUCCCACUCUGUAAAUAAAUUGUUUCACUGUUACCAAUGUGCAAAAACAUUCACUUCAUUAUCUGCUCUGUGCAAACAUCAGCGUGAUCAUGCAGAACUGAAAUCACUGGAUCACAAGGAAUCUGAAGAGACGGAAAGAUCUCCUUCUGGUUUCAGGGUCAGACUGAAAAACCUUGAGAUCAGGCUCCACAGAGUUCAGAUGGAGUCUCCUGUAAAGAGUGUCAGCUGAUGUCACACUUGAAUCUGAUGGGGUAGCUCUGAUUUCUGCAGCUGCAGUGAAUAAACCUGGAUGUUAUUUAGGAAGUUGCAAGUAUAGAUAUGUACAUCAAGUGUUUUGUUUUUUUCUUUGAGAGAUGUUAAUUUUGCAAAAGGUUUUCCCUGUUACAUUUUGAUCUUUAUUCUCUUAGGACACAAUAGUGUUUAGUAGUUGUACUUAUUAUUGUAUUAUAAAAGUUAUCGCUAUGUUUUGUUUUUUUUAAUAACCUGAUAUUGUAUCAAAACUGCAGAUAUACAUCUUUUUUUUAAUUUCAAUUCAAUUUUCUUGCUUUUUUUCCAAAUCUAACUUGUUUUCUUUAUAGAUUCAUUUUAUGUGUUGUGUGUUAAAAUGUUAUCCAUUAUAUAUUUAAUUUUCUCAUGCUGUGGUAAUCCCUGCUCUUAAAUCCCUUUCUCACAAAACUGCCAAGAAUUUCACACCAGUUGUUCUUAAAGAGUCACAGAGUUUUGUUUUUUUUUUCGUGAAAAAAAUAAAAAAUUAUAUGAA